rnacentral:misc_RNA from 1 species
AUUCAGCUGUUCUACUAUUCUGAAACAUGGUUGGGAUGCUUUCCAACAAUAGCUCUAAAUGUUGACGACACUCAGAAAGAGGAACAAUAACAUCAGUUUGCAGAGGAGUAUAGACAUCUUGUAUAUCAGGAACAAUAAGCAUCAAUGGCUGCUGUAAUGCACGUUUCAAAUUGUAAAAAUGGAUUGUAGAAUCAAAUGUUGCAAUUCCCACCAUCGUCCUAGGUCCUUCCGGAAGAUCUGCAAUAACUUGAUUGAUUGAACUGCAAGCCGCAGCAGUUGCACCAAUUUGUAUUGCAUUCAUGGAUACAUCAAUAAGAAAGAAAUACACUGCUGGCAUGGGAUCGCGUACCAUAUAUUCUUUUGUGGCAACAAAUUCAACAGUUCCCCUGCAUAGCUCAGGCCUUUCAUCAGCAUCUCUGCGCCUACCAUCUGGUCCCAGAUUGCAGUGAUAAUCACGAGGAGUCUCAUCCGUAAAUCCACACAAAUUACAGAUGAACCGCCUUCCUUG